GCAAAGCAGGGAAUUCCAACUUCUCAGCCUCCCGAACCUCCAAAAAGUAAAUUAUAAAAUUUCCUCAGAUAGAGCCUUCCUCGUAUAGACACGAAGAAACCAAUACAAAAUCCAAGCCCAUCACCUCUCCAUCCCCCCAAUCAUCGCCCAAAAUAUUCGAUACAUUCAAUUUGAAGCCUGCCAUUGUUCCCCAUUUCUUACCAAAAACAACAAACGCAAAGAUCAGAGAUCAGAUCGACGGCCCUGAUUCAAUCUCUCCAUCGGGUCGCUGCCCAAUCAACCCAUUUCUGAUUUUCGCUCCAAAACCAAGUUUUCAGUUUUGUGCAUGCAUCACCGCCAUCAUCAUCAGCAUCCGUUUGAUUCAUAAUUAGGGAUCCGAAUUGAUGGGGUUCUUGUCGGAUCGAACGGUCAACGAUUCUUCAACCUCGUGCUUCGGUGUUGGCUUAAAGGCUUCUUCUUUCCCAGUUUGAACCUCGAUUUGGGGAUUGAUUGGCUCAGAGAAUUAGGGCUUUGUGUUUGUUUUUUUUGGAUCAAAACAUAAAAAGGAAGAAUGAGAGUGACGAAGUGUCAGGUUUGGCAGCCUUGCAAGAAGAAGAGGUAGAGGGAACGCUGUAUUAAAAUUUGGAAAGGAAAGUUUGAGAGGAACGAUUUGGAAGAUUCUAGAGAUAGAGGGGGGAGAAAGAGUGAAAGAGAUUGGAGAUGGCGUCGAGGUCGGCGACCGGCAGCAGGACCCGGGUCGGGAGGUACGAGUUGGGUCGGACCCUUGGGGAGGGCAAUUUCGCCAAGGUCAAGUUCGCUCGCAACGUCGAGACUAGUGAGAACUUCGCCAUUAAAAUACUCGACAAGGAAAAGGUCCUCAAGCACAAGAUGAUCGGCCAGAUCAAACGAGAAAUAUCAACGAUGAAAUUAAUAAGACAUCCGAAUGUCAUCCGUAUGUAUGAGGUGAUGGCUAGCAAGACAAAAAUAUACAUCGUUUUGGAAUUUGUGACUGGUGGAGAACUGUUUGACAAAAUUGCAAGUAAAGGAAGAUUGAAAGAAGAUGAAGCAAGAAAUUAUUUUCAGCAGCUUAUAAAUGCUGUGGAUUACUGUCAUAGCAGAGGUGUUUUUCAUAGAGACCUAAAGCCUGAGAAUUUGCUGCUGGAUGUUAAUGGGAUUCUGAAAGUUUCAGAUUUUGGACUGAGUGCACUACCUCAGCAAGUUCGAGAAGAUGGAUUGCUUCACACAACAUGUGGGACACCAAAUUACGUUGCCCCUGAGGUGAUAAACAACAAAGGGUAUGAUGGAGCAAAAGCCGAUUUAUGGUCUUGUGGUGUGAUUCUUUUUGUCUUAAUGGCUGGCUAUUUGCCUUUUGAAGAUUCCAACCUCAUGGCAUUAUACAAAAAGAUAUUCAAGGCCGACUUCACAUGUCCUCCAUGGUUCUCCUCAAGUGCAAAGAAGCUAAUUAAGAGAAUAUUGGAUCCUAACCCCUUGGCAAGAAUUACAAUUGCUGAGGUCAUUGAGAAUGAGUGGUUUAAGAAAGGAUAUAAGCCACCUAGUUUUGAACAAGUUGAUGUCAGUCUUGAUGAUGUGGAUUCUAUAUUCAAUGAAUCAGGGGAAUCUCAAAACCUUGUAGUGGAGAGGCGAGAAGAACGAAAUGUGGCGCCUGUCACGAUGAAUGCCUUUGAGCUUAUCUCUACAUCCCAGGGCCUGAAUCUCAAUAGUCUUUUUGAGAAAAAAAUGGAACUUGUUAAAAGAGAAACAAGAUUCACAUCCAAACGUCCUGCUAAUGAGAUAAUUUCGAAAAUUGAGGAAGCUGCAGGGCCUUUGGGUUUUGGUGUAAAGAAAAAUAACUUCAAGUUGAAGCUUCAAGGUGAAAAAACUGGACGUAAGGGUCAUUUAUCUGUUGCAACAGAGAUUUUUGAGGUGGCCCCGUCACUCUACAUGGUUGAGCUCCGCAAGUCUGGGGGAGACACUCUGGAAUUUCACAAUGUAUGUUAUUGCAAUGUUGAUGCAAUCAUGGCAUCUAAUAAGUAUUGUAUAUUCAUCUAAUUAGGAGCGAUUAUGGGCUCUUCACAAAUAAUAGCCUCUGGGCUACACCUGUUGCUUGCAAAAUUUAAUUGCUAGCAGUUGGUGGGCUAAAGCUGGGUCGGCACCCUGCUUGCUUUAUUACAUAGCAAGCAGCAAAUGGCAAGGGAAUCUUAUGCUGAUUUAAAUAAGAGGAUUAAUCCUCAUAUGGCCACAUGAUGUGGGCUGGAUAUAGAGUUCUACAAGAACCUGUCGACGGGGCUGAAAGAUAUUGUUUGGAAAUCAGGAGAUGAUUCAAGGAAGGAAGCAGAAGAUGGUGCCAGUGCCCGUGCUCUGCCAUCUUGAUGAUUGGCUUCCUUGACAGAACAUACUGAUGGGUUUCGUCGCAAUGUUCUGUUUUUUCAUUCAAAAUUUUUGAGUGAACCUCAUCAGAUGUCAGUUGUUAAAUGAAUACAGAUAGUAUGGCUUGCAGAAUUAUCUAUAAAAAGUACUUGGGGUAUUUGCUUUGAGUGAACCUGUCAUUCAGAAGUCAUUUGUUAGAUACUUGGUGCAGUUUGGGUUGGGAAUUGAAUGUAUACUUGUUAGUUGUUGUUGUAUCCUUUGAGAGAGAACAAAAUAAAACGUGAAAUCUAA